GAACGCUUCCUUUUUCCACCGGAAGCUUGCUCCACCGGAAAAAGAGGAGUGGCGAACGGGUGAGUAACACGUGGGUAACCUGCCCAUCAGAAGGGGAUAACACUUGGAAACAGGUGCUAAUACCGUAUAACAAUCGAAACCGCAUGGUUUUGAUUUGAAAGGCGCUUUCGGGUGUCGCUGAUGGAUGGACCCGCGGUGCAUUAGCUAGUUGGUGAGGUAACGGCUCACCAAGGCCACGAUGCAUAGCCGACCUGAGAGGGUGAUCGGCCACAUUGGGACUGAGACACGGCCCAAACUCCUACGGGAGGCAGCAGUAGGGAAUCUUCGGCAAUGGACGAAAGUCUGACCGAGCAACGCCGCGUGAGUGAAGAAGGUUUUCGGAUCGUAAAACUCUGUUGUUAGAGAAGAACAAGGAUGAGAGUAACUGUUCAUCCCUUGACGGUAUCUAACCAGAAAGCCACGGCUAACUACGUGCCAGCAGCCGCGGUAAUACGUAGGUGGCAAGCGUUGUCCGGAUUUAUUGGGCGUAAAGCGAGCGCAGGCGGUUUCUUAAGUCUGAUGUGAAAGCCCCCGGCUCAACCGGGGAGGGUCAUUGGAAACUGGGAGACUUGAGUGCAGAAGAGGAGAGUGGAAUUCCAUGUGUAGCGGUGAAAUGCGUAGAUAUAUGGAGGAACACCAGUGGCGAAGGCGGCUCUCUGGUCUGUAACUGACGCUGAGGCUCGAAAGCGUGGGGAGCAAACAGGAUUAGAUACCCUGGUAGUCCACGCCGUAAACGAUGAGUGCUAAGUGUUGGAGGGUUUCCGCCCUUCAGUGCUGCAGCUAACG
rnacentral:rRNA from 1 species